rnacentral:rRNA from 1 species
UACGAAGGGGGCUAGCGUUGCUCGGAAUCACUGGGCGUAAAGGGUGCGUAGGCGGGUCUUUAAGUCAGGGGUGAAAUCCUGGAGCUCAACUCCAGAACUGCCUUUGAUACUGGCAACCUUGAGUCCGGGAGAGGUGAGUGGAACUGCGAGUGUAGAGGUGAAAUUCGUAGAUAUUCGGAAGAACACCAGUGGCGAAGGCGGCUCACUGGCCCGGUACUGACGCUGAGGUGCGAAAGCGUGGGGAGCAAACAGG